rnacentral:lncRNA from 1 species
AUGAAAGGUGACUCUGAAAGAAUGAAAAACAGUUACAACAGAACUGGCAUAAUGGGAGGGUUAAGGUUAGGAUCCUUGUGUGUGUUGAUUUCCACAGCUGGCACAAUCGUAAUAGAAUGUUUUCAUCCUUCACGCCACAGAAAGAGCAGAGCUCAAGCCUCUUUGCUCUGGGUAUGCAGCUUCAAAGAAGUGUUGCAAGCCUUCAUAAUCAUGAUUUCAAAGAGUCUAAGAAGAACUUGGAAGAAGUGAGGAAAGCCCUUGACUCCCCCAGCCACCAAUUUCACUCAUUAGUGGUCUUCAUGUCUCAUGACCUCUAGUUAAGAAAAUAAACAUCCCUGUGGUAGUCCAAUAAAUUGCCUUCAGAAAAAAAACAGCUUGAUCUCCUUUUUGUCAACUCCUGCCUCUUUCAGAAUUACAGCAAGAAAGAAAAAAUUUGCAAUGUGUGCGCCUUCUACGUGUUAAGUUACUGAAUCUUCAAAACCAUCUUCUAAAUGGGCAUGAUCGUUAUCCCCAUUUAGCCUCUGAGAAAAUUGAGGCCAGAAGUCACCAAAAGCCACACAACUAGAGAGUGACAGAGCUAAGAUUGGCAUCCAAGUGACACUGAAACACAGCUCUCUCUGACCACCUUCACUGCUUGUACUUAUCCUCACAGCAGAUCCAGCCUGCACGCAGUAGCUACUCUAUGAAAAAGAACUUUGGACCCACUUUCACAUUGUCUUACAUUUUCUGCAUCUAAUACCUUCAUAAAAAUGAUUGAUCAGAGCUCCAGCAAAACUGACGUUAAGUCUCCAAUCAGAGAAAGGUCACUGUGGAACAUUGAUGUUGCACUGUUUGCAACAGUGCAAUAUUCAGUAGAUCUUGUAAUUGCAGAGUGAUGGUGACAUCAGCCAUUAGGAAAAUAUAGCAGGGUAAAUGAAUAUUUAUAUGAACAUUGAUGGGGGAUAUGGGAAGAGCCACUAAUUUGACUGCAUGGUCAGGGAGGGAUUCUGAUGAGGGUGCCUUUGAGUGACAUUCUGAUGAGGGGGCAUUCUGCGGUGGUGGGGAGUGGAUGAUGUGUUUGAAGAACAAGUGGCCCAAGCUGGGCGUGGUGGCUCAUGUCUGUAAUCCCAGCUCUUUGGGAGACCAAGGUGGGUGAAUCACUUGAGGUCAGGAGUUAGAUACCAGCCUGGCCAACAUGGUGAAACCCCACCUCCACUGAAAAUACAAAAACUAGUUGGGCAUGGUGGCAGGCACCUGUAAUCCCAGCUACUCGGGAGGCUGAGGCAGGAGAAUCGCUUAAACCCAGGAGGUGGAGGUUGCAAUGAGCUGAGAUCACGCCACUGCACUCUAGCUUGGGUGACAGAAUGAGGCUCCAUCUCAAAAAAAAAAACAAAAUAAAACCAAAACAAGUGGCCCCAAGUAUCUCUGAUGAUGUUCAUGUGGUCUGGUGUUGCACUGAUAAUUUUAGGUAUUCAAAGGUUAGUCCCUGUGGUCUAAGGUUGCAUUGAUAAUCUUCAGUAUUUGAAGUUCAAAGUUCUCUAUCUGUAGCAUUAAUGACCAGAAAUCUGCAUUCCUUCAUCCCAUAGUUUACCUGGUGUCAAAAACAUCUCCACUGAGUCUCAUUUUGAUGCCAUGCCUUUGGUUUUUAUUACAGGAUGUAUGAAAAAUGUUUCUGUACUCUCAGUGAGGCUUUGUGGAAUACAAAGCCCUCUACUUACUUACUUACUAAAGUAAGUAGUAAAGAGCACACACCUAUCAUGUUUCUCCCUUUUUGCCUUGAUUCCUAGGAAGCUCAAGGUUAAAUUGAAUGUUCAAUUAAAACAAAAAAGUUAACGUUAGCCUUCAAGGCUUUUGAGCAUUUCUAAUACUUAAUCGUGAAUCUGCUUUUCAUUGCAAGGAGUCUCUAGUUCUCCUGGACUGGUGAAUAAAUAACACAUGUACAUAAAAUCAUGUGUGCCAAGAAUAUAAGAAGUGAUGAUCUGCCUAAAAAUACACUUUUGUUUCUAUCAUUAGAUGCUCUGGAUAAGCCAUUAUUUAUUACUCCAUUUACAUGGAGGCCAACCGUGUGACCAGAUUGGAUCAAAAAAAGAGAAAGAAAUAUUGCUAUAGACAAAUACACUAAUGUCUCCCCCCCAAUGAAUCACA